rnacentral:lncRNA from 1 species
UGUUAAGACUUUUGACUUCAAUACUAGUUAUUGUUCUAGUGUCAGCUUACCUCAUAUCUUUCAAAUUUAUUAACCAACCCAUCAACACUGCAGUCAAGGAUCGUAGUUUCUCCUUAGAUAAGAAGAUUAUAUUUUACUAGAAUUUUAUUCUUUAUCUUUGACCACACUACAAUACUUUGGGACUCCAUUGACUUUGUGGUGGUUUAGCAAGUAAGAAUAUCAUUACCGGAGUAAUUAUGCUCCAGCUAAAAAAAAAAAAUUUCUUUGAUAAAUACAGAAGAUAACUCUCCAAUAAAUCCUCAGUAUUAUUUCUUAUAUCAUGUCUCGAAAGAGACUAACAGAGGAAUGAGGAAAAUGUUCGGACUAUUGAAAGUGCAAGUAUGCAUAAAAUUGUAAUGAACAAAAAAUAAGAAAGAGCACACAAUUAAUUACCUUUUUUCCUUUUCUAAUUUGUAAGGGUAGUUUUUUCAUUACAAGCAUGUCGACUCUACUGAUGAGUAAGACUGAGCAAAAAGUAUCGAUAAAUAACUAUUUUUAUAUUAGAAAAGAGAAAAGGAUUACUCCGUGUCUUCUAUUUUCUUUUUUGUUAAUUAUUUGCCAAAUUAUUGUUGUAAUAACGUCACUCGCUAAUAAAGAAUCUAUAGUUCGCCAACCUUAGUGGAAUUGUAUAUCAAUUUUUGGUGGAGGAACAGGCAAAGUAGAGCCUCGUAUCGUUUUUCGCUGAGUCGUUAAGGAAGGAGUCGAGUUCUUUAAGGCAAAUGGCUAACAAAAUAAAAAGUGGAUAGAAAAUUAAAUGAAGGUCUAUUCGAGGUAAUGAUGUGCAAAAAUCCUUAUACUGCAAGUCCAAGUCAAGUCUUAAGUCUUUGCUCACAAAUCCAAGUCAAUAAAUAUUUCUAUCGAGUCCAGUUCAAAUCCUCAGAAAUUAAAAUAUACUUUUAAAGAGUAGAGGAGAGUGAGGAUACUUGCUUGGGCGGAGAUAUGUUACAAAUGUAAAGUUAUCUAACCACCUUGUUCUUUUACAAUUAAAUAUCUUCCUUUUAUUUAUCAAAUCAACAUAAAACCCGAGAUGCCUAAUGCUUACAGUUAUAGAGAAUUUCGAAAUUGAAA